CUCUCACCAAAGCUUCAUUAGUGUGAAAAGAAAGAAAGAAAGAAAGAAAGAAAGACAGAAAAAGUUCCCUCCACUUAUGAUGUCAGACUUUCAGGCGAGUUGUACAUGGGGCUGACUCUGCCUUCAUUAGUCCGGUUACAUAAGGUACCUGACUUUCAUGUCUGGAGGUGGAGGGGACGAGGGUGGAGUUCCAGGCGACGAGGCUGCCAGCGUAAGCCCUCUCCUAAUAACAUGAGGAAGAUCCAGACAGGAAAAAAAAAACAACAGCUCUAACAGUGCACGUGACAGAUGGGAGAGGAAUUGCACAGUGCUCUGCAGGCAAUUAUUGGGUCCUGGCAUUCAUCUGGAUGCCACUUGACACACACCACCCAACUGUUGUGGACUGGCUACACCACUUCAUCAAUGGCCGUCACCCAUGAAGCAGGACAACGAGCCCUGACACCACAAACGCUGUUCAGUAAUGAACACCAUAAAGAGCCCAAAGACAUUGACCUGGCCUCCAGAUUUCCCAGAUCCCAAUCCAAUCAAGCAUCUUUGGGACAUGCUAGAAAGAGUCAGACCCAUGGAGGCCCCGCCCCCUAACCUACAGGACUCAAAGCUUCCACUUUAAAAGUGCCGGUGUCAGACACCACAGGAACGCCCCCACAAGACUUAUGACCCACCCCAAACUCCUCCUUAUAUGCACUUGCUCAUUUUACCAUGUUACCUUCCUUCCUCCACAACAAAACUAUCUCUAGAAUCCAUCCAUUUUACUUCACAUGUGUGCUCAUGCUUGCAGGCUUAUGCAGUAUUUCACAUGCUUUUUUGAUGGGCAGGAACAGCCUAAAGUAGAAGUUUACUUCAAAAAGUAUU